AACAAACGCUGGCGGCGUGCCUAAUACAUGCAAGUCGAACGGGGAAAGUAGCAAUAUGAGUACUAGUGGCGCACGGGUGAGUAACGCGUGGAUAAUCUGCCUUGAGGAGGGGGAUAACUAGUCGAAAGAUUAGCUAAUACCGCAUAAGACCACAAGAACUGAGGUUCAAGGGGUCAAAGGUUUUUCGCUUCAAGAUGAGUCCGCGUAAGAUUAGCUAGUUGGUGAGGUAAUGGCUCACCAAGGCAACGAUCUUUAACUGGUCUGAGAGGAUGAUCAGUCACACUGGAACUGAGACACGGUCCAGACUCCUACGGGAGGCAGCAGUAGGGAAUAUUGCACAAUGGAGGAAACUCUGAUGCAGCGACGCCGCGUGAGUGAUGAAGGCCUUCGGGUCGUAAAGCUCUGUCGCAGGGGAAUAACACAAUGAAUGUACCCUGUAAGAAAGGAUCGGCUAACUUCGUG
rnacentral:rRNA from 1 species